rnacentral:misc_RNA from 1 species
GAUGAAGAACGUAGCGAAAUGCGAUAAGUAAUGUGAAUUGCAGAAUUCAGUGAAUCAUCGAAUCUUUGAACGCACAUUGCGCCCGCCAGUAUUCUGGCGGGCAUGCCUGUUCGAGCGUCAUUUCAACCAUCAAGCCCUGCUUGCGUUGGGGUCCUGCGGCUGCCCGCAGGCCCUGAAAACCAGUGGCGGGCUCGCUAGUCACACCGAGCGCAGUAAUACAUCUCGCUUUGGGCGUGCGGCGGGUUCUUGCCGUUAAACACCCCCUUUUUACCAAGGUUGACCUCGGAUCAGGUAGGAAUACCCGCUGGACUUAAGCAUAUCAAUAAGCGGAGGA